GUAGGUGAACCUGCGGAAGGAUCAUUACAACGUAUCCACGUAUAAACAAACGCGAACACUCCUUUGGGCUUGUGAAACCAGAAUAAGCUGGUCUGAAGCUAAACGGUCGAACUGCUAACUAUGCGCUCUGUCGAUGGAGUCGUCUCGGGGAAGCCCGAGCGACUGGAGCGUCAGUUCUUGGCCCGGAUCAGCCCUUUGCGGUAUUUCCGAGCUUCGUUCACCCCAAAGUGUUAUUCAACCAUCGGUUCCU
rnacentral:misc_RNA from 1 species